UUUCUCCUAAGUGGGGGAAAUAUGUGGUUAGAUGAUAAGGUCUUUAAGUGUGGUUGAUGUUUAUGAGUUAGGCUUGAAGGAUGUUUUCAUUACAAGAGGUUUAGUGAAUUAAAGAGUUGGGUAAGAAUGGUUUUGGUAAGAUUGAUGGUAUCUUCAUUGAGAUUUUUAUGAGAUGUUAAGGUUGACCUUAGUUGGGUUUACCCUUAAGUGGGGGAUGGUAUGUUG
rnacentral:lncRNA from 1 species